rnacentral:tRNA from 1 species
GCCGAAGUGGCGGAAUGGUAGACGCGCACGGUUUAGGACCGUGUGAGGCAACUCGUGGAGGUUCAACUCCUCUCUUCGGCACCA